AGAGAUGUGUGAUGACGCAUAUCAAUAAGCGGAGGAAAAGAAACUAACAAGGAUUCCCUUAGUAACGGCGAGUGAAGCGGGAAGAGCUCAAAUUUGAAAUCUUCAAGGUUUACCUUGACGAAUUGUAGUUUAUAGAAGUGUUUUCUGUUAGUGGAGUUUGGUAAAAGUUCUUUGGAAUAGGACAUCAUAGAGGGUGAGAAUCCCGUAUUUGGUCAUUCCUCCUAGCGUUGUGAUACACUUUCAACGAGUCGGAUUGUUUGGGAAUGCAGUCCAAAAUGGGUGGUAAAUUUCAUCUAAAGCUAAAUAUUGGCGAGAGACCGAUAGCGAACAAGUACCGUGAGGGAAAGAUGAAAAGAACUUUGAAAAGAGAGUUAAACAGUACGUGAAAUUGUCAAAAGGGAAGCGUUUGACACCAGUGUUGUUUUUCCGAAAAUCAAUUACGAAUGUUUUGUUUUUGAGGAGUUAUGACUUCAUCGGCUUGCUCCUUUCUUUAUGAAACUUUCUUAAUGCACUUUUCGGUUAACAAGUCAACAUCAAUUUCUUUUGUUGUAAAAGGGUAUGAGGAAGGUGGCUUUCUUUUCGGAGAAAGUGUUUAUAGCCUUGUGCCUCUGCAAUCGGAGAGAUUGAGGUCUGCAGCGUAGAUCCUUCGGGGUUAGAUACGUUUGUGCUAAGUUAUAGCUUUUCAUAGACAACUUGUUGACUAUGUUUAGUCUUGUAGCUUACUCGCUGACGCUAUUUUACCUACGCUUAGGAUGUUGAGUAGCGACAUACGCAC
rnacentral:rRNA from 1 species